UGGGAACGUACCCUUUGGUUCGGAACAACCCAGGGAAACUUGGGCUAAUAACCGGUUAAGUCCGUAAGGAGAAAGAUUUAUCGCCAAAGGAUCGGCCCGCGUCUGAUUAGCUAGUUGGUAGGGUAAUGGCCUACCAAGGCUACGAUCAGUAGCUGGUCUGAGGGGAUGAUCAGCCACAUUGGGACUGAGACACGGCCCAAACUCCUACGGGAGGCAG
rnacentral:rRNA from 1 species